GCUUCGGUGGCCUAAUGAUGAGAGCAUCCGUCUCGGAUGUGGGAAGUUUUGGGUUCGAUUCCCGGACGAAUCA